rnacentral:rRNA from 1 species
UACGUAGGGUGCAAGCGUUGUCCGGAAUUAUUGGGCGUAAAGAGCUCGUAGGCGGUCUGUCACGUCGGCUGUGAAAACCCGGGGCUCAACCCCGGACUUGCAGUGGGUACGGGCAGACUAGAGUGUGGUAGGGGAGACUGGAAUUCCUGGUGUAGCGGUGGAAUGCGCAGAUAUCAGGAGGAACACCGAUGGCGAAGGCAGGUCUCUGGGCCAUUACUGACACUGAGAAGCGAAAGCAUGGGGAGCGAACAGG